CCCAGUCUGCCUGCUGGAUGACAGGAGGCUGGUGCUGCUGAGCCCAGCGCUGGUCCCAGCCAGUAGCACCAGCCUCCUAUCAUCCAGCAGGCAGAUCAGG
rnacentral:pre_miRNA from 1 species